ensembl:lncRNA
UAAACAUCUGGACUGGCGCAGCAGUAGAAUGGUAGCAGUAGUCAAGCAAAUCUUGUGGAAAAUAAUGAAAUUAGAUCCCUGGUGCUGUGUGACAGUCGCAGGGCAGGAGACAUCAGCUCCAUGUUAAUAAAAUUGGCAUGAAUGACUGAAUGCAAUUAAGAAAUUGUCAGUGGUGGCUAUGAACUUUUGUCACUGGUGGAUGUUUGCAUCGUUUGAUUAUGGUGUCAAUUUAAACGUGUUUAUUCGUGUCUGCAUUAGAGUAUUCAUUAUGACCUUUUGUGAUUGGCCGCGAUUAAGCUAGUCACUUAGAAGUAAAGUGACGAUGUCAGAUGGGUGGAGUGAUGUUUGUGUGUGUGUGUGUGUUUUUAGUUUUGUCUUUAUUUCUUUGUGUGUGACUGAGCCAUGUGACAUGGUGUGACCAGAGUAGUGAGGAUCUUCUAGCCUGUAUUUAUACCCAGCAUGGAGCUAAAGGUAGACACAGACUAUUUCUCUGCUUUAUUAGACUGCUAUAGAGCUUCUGUUGUCUCUGACUCCCUACUGUAGUACACACACUACACAUCCACAUAGGCUUUUAUACAUUCUCAAUUACCUAAUAUUUCCUUUACUCUUGUGUCUUGAAAAUAAAGUUAGACACUUUUUCUAAAUAAAACGAAAGGAGGUGUCAUGAUUGCCAGGUUUAUUCUCCAUAGUUAUAUUGUCGGUUUAGAUGGUUGGAUUUUCAAUCCUUUCCUUGCUUGGUUUAGGUAUUAGUACUCUGAAAGCGGACCUUUCAAAAAAUAUGAACCUGUACCUCUCUCUGUCUCACUCCACACCUCUGUUUAUCGUAUCACCCCACACAGUGGCGGGAGGAGAGGAUUAUAUUUCAGGGAAUGAUUUGUCAGUUUAGGAGGUAAUAAUGGAUUUGGGCUGAGAGCUAAACAAACAGAACUCUCUCACUGAUCAAGAGAGGCGAUAAGAGGAGAGGAGGGGAGAGAGAGAAGGGAGAGAGGAGAGGAGAGGAAAGAGAGGAAAGAGAGGUGAGAAGAGUAGAGAGAAGAGAGAGGAGAGGAGAGGUGAGGAGAGUAGAGAGUAGAGAGAGGAGCGGAGCGGAGAGGUGAGGAGAGGUGAGGAGAGUAGAGAGAAGAGAGAGGAGAGAGGAGCGGAGAGGAGAGUAGAGAGUAGAGAGAAGAGAGAGGAGCGGAGAGGAGCGGAGAGGAGAGGUGAGGAGAGUAGAGAGAGGAGCGGAGAGGUGAGGAGAGUAGAGAGAAGAGAGAGGAGCGGAGAGGAGAGGAGAGGUGAGGAGAGUAGAGAGAAGAGAGAGGAGCGGAGAGGAGAGGAGAGGAGAGUAGAGAGAGGAGCGGAGAGGAGAGUAGAGAGAAGAGAGAGGAGCGGAGAGGAGAGGUGAGGAGAGUAGAGAGAGGAGCGGAGAGGAGAGUAGAGAGAAGAGAGAGGAGCGGAGAGGAGAGUAGAGAGUACAGAGAAGAGAGAGGAGCGGAGAGGAGAGGUGAGGAGAGUAGAGAGAAGAGAGAGGAGCGGAGAGGAGAGGUGAGGAGAGUAGAGAGAGGAGCGGAGAGGAGAGUAGAGAGAAGAGAGAGGAGAGGAGAGGUGAGGAGAGGAGAGGAGAGUAGAGAGUACAGAGAAGAGAGAGGAGAGGUGAGGAGAGUAGAGAGUACAGAGAAGAGAGAGGAGAGGUGAGGAGAGGUGAGGAGAGUAGAGAGUACAGAGAAGAGAGAGGAGAGGUGAGGAGAGUAGAGAGUACAGAGAAGAGAGAGGAGAGGAGAGUAGAGAGUAGAGAGAGGAGAGAGGAGCGGAGAGGAGAGGUGAGGAGAGUAGAGAGUAGAGAGAGGAGCGGA